rnacentral:rRNA from 1 species
CAGCAGCCGCGGUAAUACGAAGGGGGCUAGCGUUGUUCGGAUUUACUGGGCGUAAAGCGCACGUAGGCGGAUAUUUAAGUCAGGGGUGAAAUCCCAGAGCUCAACUCUGGAACUGCCUUUGAUACUGGGUAUCUUGAGUAUGGAAGAGGUGAGUGGAAUUCCGAGUGUAGAGGUGAAAUUCGUAGAUAUUCGGAGGAACACCAGUGGCGAAGGCGGCUCACUGGUCCAUUACUGACGCUGAGGUGCGAAAGCGUGGGGAGCAAACAGGAUUAGAUACCCGGGUAGUCCCUGUCUCUUAUAA